rnacentral:rRNA from 1 species
ACGCUGGCGGCAUGCCUUACACAUGCAAGUCGAACGGCAGCACGGGAGCAAUCCUGGUGGCGAGUGGCGAACGGGUGAGUAAUGUAUCGGAACGUACCUUUCAGUGGGGGAUAACGUAGCGAAAGUUACGCUAAUACCGCAUAUUCUGUGAGCAGGAAAGCAGGGGAUCGCAAGACCUUGCGCUGAUUGAGCGGCCGAUAUCAGAUUAGCUAGUUGGUGAGGUAAAGGCUCACCAAGGCGACGAUCUGUAGCGGGUCUGAGAGGACGACCAGCCACACUGGAACUGAGACACGGUCCAGACUCCUACGGGAGGCAGCAGUGGGGAAUUUUGGACAAUGGGCGCAAGCCUGAUCCAGCAAUGCCGCGUGCAGGAUGAAGGCCUUCGGGUUGUAAACUGCUUUUGUACGGAGCGAAACGGCUCUUUCUAAUAAAGAGGGCUAAUGACGGUACCGUAAGAAUAAGCACCGGCUAACUACGUGCCAGCAGCCGCGGUAAUACGUAGGGUGCGAGCGUUAAUCGGAAUUACUGGGCGUAAAGCGUGCGCAGGCGGUUAUAUAAGACAGAUGUGAAAUCCCCGGGCUCAACCUGGGCACUGCAUUUGUGACUGUAUAGCUAGAGUACGGUAGAGGGGGAUGGAAUUCCGCGUGUAGCAGUGAAAUGCGUAGAUAUGCGGAGGAACACCGAUGGCGAAGGCAAUCCCCUGGACCUGUACUGACGCUCAUGCACGAAAGCGUGGGGAGCAAACAGGAUUAGAUACCCUGGUAGUCCACGCCCUAAACGAUGUCAACUGGUUGUUGGGUCUUUGCUGACUCAGUAACGAAGCUAACGCGUGAAGUUGACCGCCUGGGGAGUACGGCCGCAAGGUUGAAACCCAAAGGAAUUGACGGGGACCCGCACAAGCGGUGGAUGAUGUGGUUUAAUUCGAUGCAACGCGAAAAACCUUACCCACCUUUGACAUGUACGGAAUCCUUUAGAGAUAGAGGAGUGCUCGAAAGAGAGCUGUAACACAGGUGCUGCAUGGCUGUCGUCAGCUCGUGUCGUGAGAUGUUGGGUUAAGUCCCGCAACGAGCGCAACCCUUGUCAUUAGUUGCUACAUUUAGUUGGGCACUCUAAUGAGACUGCCGGUGACAAACCGGAGGAAGGUGGGGAUGACGUCAAGUCCUCAUGGCCCUUAUGGGUAGGGCUUCACACGUCAUACAAUGGUCGGUACAAAGGGUUGCCAACCCGCGAGGGGGAGCUAAUCCCAGAAAGCCGAUCGUAGUCCGGAUCGUAGGCUGCAACUCGCCUGCGUGAAGUCGGAAUCGCUAGUAAUCGUGGAUCAGCAUGUCACGGUGAAUACGUUCCCGGGUCUUGUACACACCGCCCGUCACACCAUGGGAGCGGGUUCCGCCAGAAGUAGGUAGCCUAACCGCAAGGAGGGCGCUUACCACGGCGGGGUUCGUGACUGGGGUG